UACGUAGGGUGCUAGCGUUGUCCGGAUUUAUUGGGCGUAAAGAGCUCGUAGGCGGUCUGUCGCGUCGGCUGUGAAAACCCGGAGCUCAACUCCGGGCCUGCAGUCGAUACGGGCAGACUGGAGUUCGGCAGGGGAGACUGGAAUUCCUGGUGUAGCGGUGAAAUGCGCAGAUAUCAGGAGGAACACCAAUGGCGAAGGCAGCUCGCUGGACGGUACUGACGCUGGGGUGCGAAAGCAUGGGGAGCGAACAGG
rnacentral:rRNA from 1 species